rnacentral:tRNA from 1 species
GCUGGCAUAGCUCAGUGGUAGAGCACUCCCUUGGUAAGGGAGAGGUCGAGAGUUCAAUCCUCUCUGCCAGCUCCA